rnacentral:rRNA from 1 species
AACGAACGCUGGCGGCAUGCCUAACACAUGCAAGUCGAACGAGACCUCCGGGUCUAGUGGCGCACGGGUGCGUAACACGUGGGAAUCUGCCCUUUGCUUCGGAAUAACAGUUAGAAAUGACUGCUAAUACCGGAUGAUGUCGAAAGACCAAAGAUUUAUCGGCAAAGGAUGAGCCCGCGUAGGAUUAGGUAGUUGGUGGGGUAAAGGCCUACCAAGCCGACGAUCCUUAGCUGGUCUGAGAGGAUGAUCAGCCACACUGGGACUGAGACACGGCCCAGACUCCCACGGAAUGCAGCAGUGGGUAAUAUUGGACAAUGGGGGAAAGCCUGAUCCAGCAAUGCCGCGUGAGUGAUGUAGGCCUUAAAGUUGUAAAGCUCUUUUACCAGUGAUGAUAAUGACAGUACCUGGAGAAUAAGCUCCGGCUAACUCCGUG